rnacentral:rRNA from 1 species
ACGGGAGGCAGCAGUGGGGAAUAUUGCACAAUGGAGGAAACUCUGAUGCAGCAACGCCGCGUGAGUGAAGAAGUAUCUCGGUAUGUAAAGCUCUAUCAGCAGGGAAGAAAAUGACGGUACCUGACUAAGAAGCCCCGGCUAACUACGUACCAGCAGCCGCGGUAAUACGUAGGGGGCAAGCGUUAUCCGGAUUUACUGGGUGUAAAGGGAGCGUAGACGGCAAAGCAAGUCUGAAGUGAAAUCCCGGGGCUCAACCCCGGAACUGCUUUGGAAACUGUUUAGCUAGAGUGCAGGAGAGGUAAGCGGAAUUCCUAGUGUAGCGGUGAAAUGCGUAGAUAUUAGGAGGAACACCAGUGGCGAAGGCGGCUUACUGGACUGUAACUGACGUUGAGGCUCGAAAGCGUGGGGAGCAAACAGGAUUAGAUACCCUGGUA